rnacentral:rRNA from 1 species
UGGCUGUUCCAGAUGUAAUUUGCAGGCAACAGAGAGUCUGAUCAAGUGGCCCAGAUUGAACGCCGGUGGAUGCUUUACAUUAUGCAAGCUGAACGGCGCACGACUCCUGGUCUGGUGGCGAGUAUGGAACGGGUGAGUAAUGUAUCGGAACGUGCCUAGUAGCGGGGGAUAACUACGCGAAAUGAGCUAAUACCGCAUACGCCCCUGGGAAAGCGGGGGACCUCUGGGCCUUCAGACUAUUAGAGCGGCCGAUAUCGGAUUAGCUAGUUGAAGAAACGGCUUCCACUGGAAGGCGAUGAUCCGUAGCUGGUUUGAGAGGACGACCAGCCACACUGGGAUCGGAGACACGGCCCAGACUCCUACGGAGUGGCAGUGGGGAAUUUUGGACAAGGAACUCUGAUCCAGUGCCAUCCGCAAGAAGGCCUCUACAAAAGCACUUUGGCAGGAUAAAAGAAACGGCACGGGAUAAUACCCGCAACUGGACGGUACCUGCAGAAUAAGCACCGGCUAACUACGUGCCAGCAGCCGCGGUAAUACGUAGGGUGCAAGCGUUAAUCGGAAUUACUGGGCGCAAGGCGCAAUGGUCUGAAAGAAAGAUGUGAAAUCCUAGAGCUUAACUUUGGAACUGCAUUUUUAACUACCGAGCUUAGAGUGUGUCAGAGGGAGGUGGAAUUCCGCGUAGCAGUGAAAUGCGUAGAUAUGCGGAGGAACACCGAUGGCGAAGGCAGCCUCCUGGGAUAACACUGACGCUCAUGCACGAAAGCGUGGGGAGCAAACAGGAUUAGAUACUCUUAUAGGUCCACGCCCAAACGAUGGGUACUAAUCAUUGUUGGGCCUUCGGGUAUUUGGUAGCGCAGCUAAUGCGUGAAGCUUAAUCGCCUUGGGGAGGCUGGUCGCAAGAUUAAACUCAAAGGAAUUGACGGGACUCCGUACGUUGCGGGAUGAUAGGAUUAAUUCGACAAACGCGAAAACCUGUCCUACCCUUGACAUGUCUGGAAUCCCGAAGAGAUUUGGGAGUGCUCGCAAGAGAACCGGAACACAGGUGCUGCAUGGCUGUCGUCAGCUCGUGUCGUGAGAUGUUGGGUUAAGUCCCGCAACGAGCGCAACCCUUGUCAUUAGUUGCUACGAAAGGGCACUGGUCGAGAUCGGUGACAAAACCAGAGGAAGGUGGGGAUGACGUCAAGUCCCCAUGUCUUAUGGGUAGGGUUGGGCUUCACACAAGUCAUACAAUGGUCGGGACAGAGGGUCGCCAACCCGCGAGGGGGAGCCAAUCCCAGAAACCCGAUCGUAGUCCGAUCGCAGUCUGCAACUCGACUGCGUGAAGUCGAACCGCUAGUAAUCGCGAUCAGGCACGUCGCGGUGAAUACGUUCCCGGGUCUUGUACACACCGCCCACUACACCAUGGGAGUGGGUUUUACCAGAAGUAGUUAGCCCAACCGUAAGGAGGCGAUUACCACGGUAGGAUUCAUGACUGGGUGAAGUUCGUAACAAGGUAG